AACGAACGCUGGCGGCGCGUCUUAAGCAUGCAAGUCGAGCGUGAUUGUGGUGCUUGCACCACAUGAAGGCGGCGGACUGGUGAGUAACGCGUGGGUGACGUACCCUGAGGAUGGGGAUAGCUCCUAGAAAUAGGAGGUAAUACCGAAUACGGUGUGACUUGUUAGAGGAGUUACAUCAAAGGUUCUUUUGAACCGCCACAGGAGCGGCCCGCGUACUAUUAGCUAGUUGGUGAGGUAACGGCCCACCAAGGCGACGAUAGUUACCCGGCCUGAGAGGGUGAACGGGCACAUUGGGACUGAGAUACGGCCCAGACUCCUACGGGAGGCAGCAGCUAAGAAUAUUCCGCAAUGGAGGAAACUCUGACGGAGCGACGCCGCGUGGACGAUGAAGGCCGGAAGGUUGUAAAGUCCUUUUAGAUAUGAGGAAUAAAGAGGAUGAGAGAAACGUCCUCUGGUGACUGUAGUAUCAGAAUAAGGGGCGGCUAAUUACGUGCCAGCAGCCGCGGUAACACGUAAGCCCCGAGCGUUGUUCGGAAUUAUUGGGCGUAUAGGGCAUGUAGCCGGCUUUGCAAAUCUGGUGUGAAAUGAGGGGGCUUAACCCCCGGACUGCGCUGGAAACUGCAUGGCUUGAAUCACUGAGGAGCAUCCGGGAAUUCCUGGUGUAGGGGUGUAAUCCGUAAGAUAUCAGGAAAAACACCCAAGGCGAAAGGCAAGCUGGCCAAGCCGAUGACUGACCCUGAGGUGCGAAAGUGCGGGAAGCAAACAGGAUUAGAUACCCUGGAAGUCCACACAGUCAACGAAUGUACACUGGGUGUCCGUUCAUGAGAAUGGGUGCCGAAGCAAACGCGAUAAGUGUACCGCCUGGGGAGUAUGCCCGCAAGGGUGAAACUCAAAGGAAUUGACGGGGGCCCGCACAAGCGGUGGAGCAUGUGGUUUAAUUCGAUGGUACGCGAGGAACCUUACCUGGGUUUGACAUACACAGGAAUUGUAUGGAGACAUAUAAGCGCAGCAAUGCGCCUGUGAACAGGUGCUGCAUGGCUGUCGUCAGCUCGUGCCGUGAGGUGUUGGGUUAAGUCCCGCAACGAGCGCAACCCCUACUGCCAGUUACUAACAGGUUAAGCUGAGGACUCUGGCGGAACUGCCGGUGACAAACCGGAGGAAGGUGGGGAUGACGUCAAGUCAUCAUGGCCCUUAUGUCCAGGGCUACACACGUGCUACAAUGGUUGCUACAGAGUGAAGCGAAACAGCGAUGUGGAGCAAAACGCAGAAAAGCAAUCGUAGUUCGAAUAGGAGUCUGAAACCCGACUCCUUGAAGUUGGAAUCGCUAGUAAUCGCAUAUCAGCACGAUGCGGUGAAUACGUUCCCGGGCCUUGUACACACCGCCCGUCACACCAUCCGAGUGGGGGGUACCCGAAGCCACGAGUCUAACCGUAAGGAGGACCGUGUCUAAGGUACGCUUCGUGAGGGGGGUG
rnacentral:rRNA from 1 species